AGGACGAACGCUGGCGGCGCGCUUAACACAUGCAAGUCGAGCGAGAACCAGGCUUUCGGGCCUGGGGAAAGCGGCGAACGGGUGAGUAACACGUGGGCAACCCACCCUUGGUACCGGGAUAGCCCGGGGAAACUCGGAUUAAUACCGGAUGGCCCAACAGCUCUUAGGGGCGGUUGGAAAAGGUAGCUUCGGCCUCCGACCAAGGACGGGCCCGCGGCGGAUUAGCUUGUUGGUGGGGUAACGGCCUACCAAGGCGACGAUCUGUAGCUGGUCUGAGAGGACGAUCAGCCACACUGGGACUGAGACACGGCCCAGACUCCUACGGGAGGCAGCAGUGGGGAAUCUUGCGCAAUGGACGACAGUCUGACGCAGCGACGCCGCGUGGGGGAAGAAGGCUUUCGGGUUGUAAACCCCUUUCAGGAAGGACGAAGCCACUCGGGUUAAUAGCCCAGAGGGUGACGGUACUUCCAGAAGAAGCUCCGGCUAACUACGUGCCAGCAGCCGC
rnacentral:rRNA from 1 species